rnacentral:tRNA from 1 species
GGGAAUGUAGCUCAGUGGCAGAGUUCUUGCCUAACCUGCAUGAAACCCUGGGUUAGAUCCCCAGUACCA